rnacentral:ncRNA from 1 species
UCCAUCGUGAGGUGGAAUCUGAAGGAAGUCAGCGGCAAAUCUCCGCCCUAAGGAACACGAACUUCAUAUAAGGCUAGGUGCAUUUGAAUAAGGUUGCUAAACAAACCAAAGUUCUUACUGCCAAAGGAUGCACAGAGUAAAUGAAGUAGGGACAUGGAGUGGAAGAGUAUGUG